UCGAGAAUCUUCGUCAAUGCCCGAAAGGGUGAACGAGCGACGCCGCGUGAUUGAUGAAGCCCUUCGGGGUGUAAAGAUCUUUUCUUCGGGAAGAACAAAUGACGGUACCGAAGGAAUAAGCCUUGGCUAACCUCGUGCCAGCAGCCGCGGUAAUUCGAGGAAGGCAAGCGUUAUCCGGAAUCAUUGGGCGUAAAGCGUGCGCAAGCGGUUAUAUAAGUGAGGUGUCAAAUUCCAACGCUCAACGUUGGACUCGCGCUUCAUACUGUAUGACUUGAGAAUAGUAGAGGCAAACGGAAUUCCCGGUGUAGUAGUGAAAUGCGUUAAUAUCGGGAGGAACGCCAAAAGCGAAAGCAGUUUGCUGGGCUAUUUCUGACGCCGUUGCACGACAGCGUGGGGAGCA
rnacentral:rRNA from 1 species